UACGGAGGAUGCGAGCGUUAUCCGGAUUUAUUGGGUUUAAAGGGUGCGUAGGCGGAAUAUCAAGUCAGCGGUAAAAAUUCGGGGCUCAACCCCGUCGUGCCGUUGAAACUGAUGUUCUUGAGUGGGCGAGAAGUAUGCGGAAUGCGUGGUGUAGCGGUGGAAUACAUAGAUAUCACGCAGAACUCCGAUUGCGAAGGCAGCAUACCGGCGCCCAACUGACGCUGAAGCACGAAAGCGUGGGUAUCGAACAGG
rnacentral:rRNA from 1 species